GACGAACGCUGGCGGCGUGCUUAACACAUGCAAGUCGAACGGAAAGGCCCUGCUUUUGUGGGGUGCUCGAGUGGCGAACGGGUGAGUAACACGUGAGUAACCUGCCCUUGACUUUGGGAUAACUUCAGGAAACUGGGGCUAAUACCGGAUAGGAGCUCCUGCUGCAUGGUGGGGGUUGGAAAGUUUCGGCGGUUGGGGAUGGACUCGCGGCUUAUCAGCUUGUUGGUGGGGUAGUGGCUUACCAAGGCUUUGACGGGUAGCCGGCCUGAGAGGGUGACCGGCCACAUUGGGACUGCGAUACGGCCCAGACGCCUACGGGAGGCAGCAGUGGGGAAUAUGGCACAAUGGGCGGAAGCCUGAUGCAGCAACGCCGCGUGCGGGAUGACGGCCUUCGGGUUGUAAACCGCUUUCGCCUGUGACGAAGCGUGAGUGACGGUAAUGGGUAAAGAAGCACCGGCUAACUACGUG
rnacentral:rRNA from 1 species